UACAGAGGGUGCGAGCGUUAAUCGGAAUUACUGGGCGUAAAGCGUGCGUAGACGGUAGCGUAAGUCAGAUGUGAAAGCCCCGGGCUCAACCUGGGAACUGCAUUUGAGACUGCUCUGCUCGGGUGCGGAAGAGGGAAGCGGAAUUUCCGGUGUAGCGGUGAAAUGCGUAGAUAUCGGAAGGAACACCAAUGGCGAAGGCAGCUCGCUGGGACGGUACUGACGCUGAGGCGCGAAAGCGUGGGGAGCAAACAGG
rnacentral:rRNA from 1 species